UAAGGAAUAUUGGUCAAUGGGCGCAAGCCUGAACCAGCCAUGCCGCGUGCAGGAAGACGGCCCUAUGGGUUGUAAACUGCUUUUAUCAGGGAAUAAACCCCCGCUCGUGAGCGGGGCUGAAGGUACCUGAAGAAUAAGCAUCGGCUAACUCCGUGCUAGCAGCCGCGGUAAUACGGAGGAUGCAAGCGUUAUCCGGAUUCAUUGGGUUUAAAGGGUGCGCAGGCGGAUUGGUAAGUCAGGGGUGAAAUCCCACAGCUCAACUGUGGAACUGCCUUUGAUACUGUCAGUCUAGAGUAUAGUUGAAGUGGGCGGAAUGUGUCAUGUAGCGGUGAAAUGCUUAGAUAUGACAUAGAACACCGAUCGCGAAGGCAGCUCGCUAAGCUAUAACUGACGCUCAUGCACGAAAGCGUGGGGAUCAAACAG
rnacentral:rRNA from 1 species